rnacentral:misc_RNA from 1 species
GACAGAGGGUGCAAACGUUGUUCGGAAUUACUGGGCGUAAAGCGCGUGUAGGCGGCUCGGAAAGUCGGAUGUGAAAGCCCAGGGCUUAACCCUGGAAGUGCACUCGAAACUCCCGAGCUUGAGUCCCGGAGAGGAAGGCGGAAUUCUCGGUGUAGAGGUGAAAUUCGUAGAUAUCGAGAGGAACACCUGUGGCGAAGGCGGCCUUCUGGACGGUGACUGACGCUGAGACGCGAAAGCGUGGGGAGCAAACAGG